rnacentral:lncRNA from 1 species
AGAAAUCUACCUGCCUCUGCCUCCCGAGUGCUGGGAUUAAAGGCAUGUGCCACCACGCCAGGCAGUUCUAAUUUUUAAAAAAGAUUUACUUAUUUGUUAUACUGUAGCUGUCUUCAGACACACCAGAAGAGGGAUGGUUGUGAGCCACCAUGUGGUUGGUGGGAUUUGAACUCAGGACUUCUGGGAAGAGCAGUCAGUGCUCUUAACCACUGAGCCAUCUCUGGAGAGCCCUGAUAGUUCUAAAUUAAGGAGGAAAGUCACAUAGCAUCAUUUGGUAUACAUGAGGAUCUCCUUGUCUGUGAAGCAACUAGAUCUUGUGGGCUGAUAUUUAGCAUCACAGUGCAUAGCAACAGGACCAAACCCUCAACAGGCACCUUGCAUCGACCUCACUUUGUGCAGCAGACUCCAUCCCUAUAGAUUUCUUUUCACUGCCAUUAACUGUUCUCAACAUCACCAACUGCUGCCAAAUCAAGCCUUAGACACUCCGAAAGGAAACAGAUACACAACAGCUCUCCCAGUGACUCGCCCUGGCUGGACUCCUUAAGUCAAGGGUAACAAAUGUCUGCUGGCUGGCUGGCUGGCACCUUCUGAAGCACUCUGGUAGAAAAAGCCUUUGUAGAUAUGGUUAUGGUGCCCAGAGGGAAUUAGAGAUAAGAAUCACAGAGCAGAUGGGGAACUUAGUAGGGACGGCUGUUAAAAAUACGCACCGAGAAGGGGGCAUUGAAGAAACGCCUUGACAAACUCGACGUUGAGGGAGCGGCAUACACAGACAGGCCGGUGCUAAACAAGAGACCGAGGGAAGUGGACCAGACAUUGUAGGGGAGCAAACACACGGAGGGAAACAUAGUCCCAAGGUCAAAUGGCUUAGCAUCUAAUCCCCCAUCACUCCAGGCUCCGGAGGCUCUGACCUGCUCCAGUCUUGGUCUUGCUCUUCCUUGGUUCCCUGAUGUCACAGUGAAAACAACAAUACAGUUAAAAUGGCAAAGUUGGGAGACACCAGGGACGAGAAAUACAAGGCCUGACAGCAGCGUUCAGAGAGCCAAGCUUCACAGACAAGGAGAAGGGCGGAGCUUGGAGGAAAACAGAGGAAGCUGGCGACCACAGGCUUCAUUUGGCUUCCCGGAAACUGUACUGAAGCAUGCACACAACUCACUGUUGCUCUUUUGUGUAUUCUUGCCGCAGAUACAGCUAAUUCCUGCAAAAUCAUUGUAAGCAUGGCAUAGAAGAAAGCCUUCAUCUACUCCAGAAGGGAGACUACCUUGGCCCCUGGCAAGGAGUUUUAUGUGAGGUAGCCCAGGAGAACUGUACUGUUCUGUUGUCUUGGCAUCUGUGUUUCUUAGUGGUCAGAAUUUUCCUUUGUGGUUAGACAUCCUUGAUUCUGCAUAGAUUGAUCCCACUCUAUCAGAAACUACAGUACCAGGGCAUUCACCUACUCAUGUACAUCAAUGAAGAAUCUGUACCCUUAACAUAAAACUCAACAUCGUGUCGGGCAUUGGUAGCACACACAUUAAAUCCAAGCACUUGGGAGGCAGAGGCAGGCAGAUCUCUUCGAGUUUAAGGCCAGCCUGGUCUACAGAGUGGGUUCCAGGACAGCCAGCGCUGCACAGAAAAAGCCUGUCACAAACAAAACCAAACAACAAACUUCAGUGUCAUUAUAGUAUCUUAUAGUGUGACUUUGAAAGCCCCCCUUCUUUUUUGUGGGGAUCAUGGAAUGAAAUGCUCU